rnacentral:rRNA from 1 species
GAUGAACGCUGGCGGCGUGCCUAAUACAUGCAAGUCGAGCGAACGGACGAGAAGCUUGCUUCUCUGAUGUUAGCGGCGGACGGGUGAGUAACACGUGGAUAACCUACCUAUAAGACUGGGAUAAUUUCGGGAAACCGGAGCUAAUACCGGAUAAUAUUUUGAACCGCAUGGUUCAAAAGUGAAAGACGGUCUUGCUGUCACUUAUAGAUGGAUCCGCGCUGCAUUAGCUAGUUGGUAAGGUAACGGCUUACCAAGGCAACGAUGCAUAGCCGACCUGAGAGGGUGAUCGGCCACACUGGAACUGGGACACGGUCCAGACUCCUGCGGGAGGCAGCAGUAGGGAAUCUUCCGCAAUGGGCGAAAGCCUGACGGAGCAACGGCGCGUGAGUGAUGAAGGUCUUCGGAUCGUAAAACUCUGUUAUUAGGGAAGAACAUAUUUGUAAGUAACUGUGCACAUCUUGACGGUACCUAGUCAGAAAGCCACGGCUAACUACGUG